rnacentral:rRNA from 1 species
CCUACGGGAGACAGCAGUGGGGGAUAUUGCACAAUGGGGGGAACCCUGAUGCAGCGACGCCGCGUGGGUGAAGGAGGGCUUCGGCAUGUAAAGCCCUAUCGGCAGGGAAGAAGCAAGACGGUACCUGACUAAGAAGCCCCGGCUAACUACGUGCCAGCAGCCGCGGUAAUACGUAGGGGGCGAGCGUUAUCCGGAUUCACUGGGUGUAAAGGGAGCGUAGACGGCCAUGCAAGCCAGGGGUGAAAGCCCGGGGCCCAACCCCGGGACUGCCCUUGGAACUGUGCGGCUAGAGUGCGGGAGGGGCAGGCGGAAUUCCUGGUGUAGCGGUGAAAUGCGUCGAUAUCAGGAGGAACCCCGGCGGCGAAGGCGGCCUGCUGGACUGCGACUGACGUUGAGGCUCGAACGCGUGGGGAGCGAACAGGAUUAGAUACCCUUGUAGUC